UGCAUGAAAUAUAUACAUAAUUGUUCACAUUUUAAUACUUUGGUUCAAAAUACACUUACUCUGAAAACAAUAAGCCGGAAGUCGCGCGGGGCUAACGGCAGGCUACAUGCGCAGCAGCUUCGGGGGAAUCGUCCACUAUGGCUGAGACCCACAGCUUACAGGACCUCCAGCAGCCAGCUGUCUCCUCCAAAGUGUUCAUCCAGAGAGACUACAGCUCAGGAACCAUCUGCAAGUUCCAGACCAAGUUCCCCUCUGAACUUGAGUCAAGGCUUGACAAACAGCAGUUUGAGGAGACAAUUCUGGCUCUAAACAACCUGUAUGCAGAAGCAGAGAAAUUAGGGGGAAAGUCUUAUUUGGAGGGCUGCCUGGCUUGUCUAACCGCCUAUACAAUCUUUCUCUGUAUGGAGACACACUAUGAAAAGGUGUUAAAGAAGAUUGCCAGGUACAUCAAGGACCAGAAUGAGAAGGUAUAUGCUCCCAGGGGCUUGCUGUUGACUGACCCCAUAGAAAGAGGCCUGAGAGUUGUUGAAAUAACCAUUUUUGAAGACAGAAGUAUUGGCUCUGGAAGAUAAAGAAACUUUGGGGGUAUGGAGUUCUUCUGAUGUAUUUUGUCCUAAACACUGGACCUCUGACGCAAGUUGACCGACUCUUCAUCUGUUUGGUGGCAUGUAUUCAGAUGUCCUGCUUCACCUGAAUGGAUGUAUAUAAUUUUGAUCUGAUCCUUUUCUCUGUUAUUUAUAAGUACUUUACUGUCACCCUAUCCAUAUAUGUUUGUAAGUGUGUUUUCAUGUCUUUUUAUACAUGCAGAGACGUUAAAAUCAGGUCCUAGUUGAUCAAGACCAGUGUUAAAGAAUAGUGCCAUUGUGUUUACUGCAACUCUCUGACCAUGGUAAAUAUAAGUGAUUUGACUUGCGUAUUGUUUUGCAAAUAAUAUCAAGUCAAAUAAUGUGUGGUCGUGAAGAUUUGUUAAAGAAAUAGGUCGGGGUGGAGCUGGUUGCUGCCUUUGUUGAGGCAAAUGUUUUCUUACCUGUGCAUGAAUGUGACUGUUGGAGGGGAAAUCAUGUCGUGUGAAACACGUAGAAAGUUCUGAAAUUGAGUUUUUUUGUGUCCUCAAAGAUGGAGCAUGUUUACCGUUAUCACAAAAUAAUGACAUGAUCUAGUACAUUAUGAGGAAUAUCCAUCUCUGCCGUGUCAUAGUACAAUUGCACCAAGUCUCCCAAAUUAUAUUCAUAAUAUAGUCCUGUUAACCUGUUUCUCAUAAGAUUUACUAUCUGUAAUGCGAUUGUCAUCCACCUUUUCAUUGUCAUCAAACACCACAGAAACCUUAAACACUCUGAACUCCACAGAUGAUCGCUAUAGUCGGUGUUUGAUACAACUGUUGUACUUUUCUUACAAAUAUUGUUCUGUUUUAUCUAAAUAAAUAUCCUUUUCCUGAAA